AGCGAACGCUGGCGGCAGGCCUAACACAUGCAAGUCGAACGAACUCUUCGGAGUUAGUGGCGGACGGGUGAGUAACACGUGGGAACGUGCCUUUUGGUUCGGAAUAACUCAGGGAAACUUGUGCUAAUACCGAAUGUGCCCUUCUGGGGAAAGAUUUAUCGCCAUUAGAGCGGCCCGCGUCUGAUUAGCUAGUUGGUUAGGUAACGGCUCACCAAGGCGACGAUCAGUAGCUGGUCUGAGAGGAUGACCAGCCACACUGGGACUGAGACACGGCCCAGAAUCCUACGGGAGGCAGCAGUGGGGAAUCUUGCGCAAUGGGCGAAAGCCUGACGCAGCCAUGCCGCGUGAAUGAUGAAGGUCUUAGGAUUGUAAAAUUCUUUCAACGGGGAAGAUAAUGACGGUACCCGGAGAAGAAGCCCCGGCUAACUUCGUG
rnacentral:rRNA from 1 species